rnacentral:rRNA from 1 species
GAUGAACGCUGGCGGCGUGCCUAAUACAUGCAAGUCGAGCGAACAGACGAGGAGCUUGCUCCUCUGACGUUAGCGGCGGACGGGUGAGUAACACGUGGAUAACCUACCUAUAAGACUGGGAUAACUUCGGGAAACCGGAGCUAAUACCGGAUAAUAUAUUGAACCGCAUGGUUCAAUAGUGAAAGACGGUUUUGCUGUCACUUAUAGAUGGAUCCGCGCCGCAUUAGCUAGUUGGUAAGGUAACGGCUUACCAAGGCAACGAUGCGUAGCCGACCUGAGAGGGUGAUCGGCCACACUGGAACUGAGACACGUUCCAGACUCCUACGGUGGGCAGCAGUAGGGAAUCUUCCGCAAUGGACGAAAGCCUGACGGAGCAACGCCGCGUGAGUGAUGAAGGUCUUCUGAUCGUAAAGCUCUGUUAUUAGGAAAGAACAAAUGUGUAAGUAACUAUGCACGUCUUGACGGUACCUAAUCAGAAAGCCACGGCUAACUACGUG